ACUGAGAAAGUGGGGACAACAGUAUUUCAUCAAAAAGAAGCUCAUUUCCUUCCAGGAGCAGACCACACAGAAAACAUGGACACGGAUUACUUUAUCAGGUCCUGCUGUCACCCAAAGGCUCAUCCCUGCAGAGCUCAGGGGUCUGGCUUCAUGACUCGGCUUUAAACGGACGCUCAGCUUUCCUAGGAAUAGCUAGCACUGCUUGGAAGUGAUUUAUGGAAACACUGCUGCAUCACCUCUGAUCUACCUAUGCUGCACUCAAGCAACAUAAUCUAAACUAGUUAUUUUCCAGAGUUAAACAUACAACUCCUGGCUGUCCCUUCAGGAGCAUAAUGUGGCUGAUCCUGUGGCUGAUUCAACGAGGUGUACACCAGCUCAUACAGGACAGCCUAGAGGUCUGAAGGGUCAAGGCAACUAUUCAGGCAAAGUUUGUAAAAUGUGGCUACUGAGGACAUGAACCAAACACAGCUAAGAAGCUGAGAACAAGAUCUUCCAUUGAAGCACACUAUAGAAGUGAAGGGUGAAUUGGCACCAUAAGCAAUCUUAACUUGCAGCAGCAAAAAUCAAGAAUGUGUUGUGUGUAGGAAAGUUAAUGAAAAGACAUGCUAGUUUUGUGAACGUUACUCUCCUUCCUUGUUAAUUCUCGGGUUCUAAUUAAACAAUUCCUAGUCUUGCUUGUACACAUCAUGGUUUCCAAAUUAAAUGUAUAUUGUGCUCUAAAAGUAAGGACAUAAGUCCAUCCUCUUACUGGAACUGUGAACUGUUAGUAUGAAACAAGGUGUGCAUAGAGCGCUAAAGUAUAUUGCCACAAAGUGAAGUAUGCAGCAUACUGUAAAGACAACAGCUCUGCAUUCAUCCAAGGGGCAAACCUCAAACAUUGUGUAUUUGUUUAAAAUAUUAAUUCUCAAGUUUCAUUUUUAAUAACUUCACUUACGGAAAGGGGAGAAUGACUGCCAUAAAUUGUGAAAUACAGGAGUACUAAGAGGGAACUGAAUGUGCCAGCUGGGGAUAUACAAAGGAGGGAAUGAGUCAUAUAACUUCUGGGUAUUGCCAGUCGUUUGGAAAGGGGUCGUCCUGACUGGGCAGGACUGCAAUUAUUAAAAUUGAUGUAACAAGCAUUUAUUCCUGGGCUGAAAGAACAAAUGAUCUGCUAGCAGAUUAUAAUGAUCACAAAUGAUCUGCUAGCAAUGCUGUGUUAAAGGUUCUGUCAGCAAUGAUAUUACAGGGAUUUAUAAUACAGAACGAAAAUAGUGCAUCCUGGUCACUAAAAUAACUCCAGAGCCAGAGUUUGUAUCAAGUUAUCAUAACUAAGCAGCUGACUAAUGUCCACAAAAAUAUCUGUAUGCAUGGGAGUCAUCUCUGUGCACGCUGGUUGGGCAAUUGCUUGUGUAGGGUGGGUUUUUUCUUCUAAACAUCUCUGUAGAAUGUAUAGGCACCUCAGUAUGUGAAAAAGCAUUUCAGUGUUUAGGUGCUCUAAACAAACAUAUGAACAUCAUUGCAUACCUGUGAAUGUUUUUUAGGCCAAAGCAAGCCAUUAGACUGCAAAAAGGCUGUAAAGAAAUUCACAUUCUUAUGGUUGAGUAAGAAGUUAAUCUAGCACUUCACAAUAAAUCCCUGUAACAGAAAUGCUGACAGUACUUUAAAUGUAAUAGUAUUAAGAGACAUUUACAAGGACAUUUUCUUAGUCAGCUGCUUGUGAUUGAAAAUGUGCUUCCAUAAGAUAUUUGAAAAAUAAAUAUAUUUCACUUUGGUUACAAUUAAAAUUUUGGAUUCU
ensembl:lncRNA